UCCCAUUGCUAGGGUUUGGAUGAGAUCAAAAGAGUAUGGAAUUGGAAGUGCUUUCUUUUUUGUGCUGCUCUGUUGUCUAUCCCAUUUUGGUGUUUGCUCUGAAAAAGUGAAUUUUCUUGCAACUUUGAGGCUUCUGUUAACAACACUCAACCUUGCAAGAGUAGCUUGUUUCUCCAUGUGAAAACUUCACUGUUGGACAUGGUUGUUGGUGAU